GAUGAACGCUGGCGGCGUGCCUAAUACAUGCAAGUCGAGCGAACAGACGAGGAGCUUGCUCCUCUGACGUUAGCGGCGGACGGGUGAGUAACACGUGGAUAACCUACCUAUAAGACUGGGAUAACUUCGGGAAACCGGAGCUAAUACCGGAUAAUAUAUUGAACCGCAUGGUUCAAUAGUGAAAGACGGUUUUGCUGUCACUUAUAGAUGUAUCCGCGCCGCAUUAGCUAGUUGGUAAGGUAACGGCUUACCAAGGCGACGAUGCGUAGCCGACCUGAGAGGGUGAUCGGCCACACUGGAACUGAGACACGGUCCAGACUCCUACGGGAGGCAGCAGUAGGGGAUCUUCCGCAAUGGGCGAAAGCCUGACGGAGCAACGCCGCGUGAGUGAUGAAGGUCUUCGGAUCGUAAAACUCUGUUAUUAGGGAAGAACAAAUGUGUAAGUAACUAUGCACGUCUUGACGGUACCUAAUCAGAAAGCCACGGCUAACUACGUG
rnacentral:rRNA from 1 species